UCCGGUAGAAUAAACCCUUCUUCUUGAUUGGCCUACGCGCAGAGAAAGAAAGCCAUGGAAUGAUGGAAAUGGGCGCUAGAACAAACAUUUCACUCUGUUUCCGGCUCUUAAACCCUUUGCAGGAUUCGAAAUUCGAAACCCACCCAUCUCGGAACCGCCUCCAUUUCUGUCGAAAUCUCUUCUUGUCCCCUUCUUCGUCAAAACGAGCUGUAUUCUGUACCUCUGCAACCGAUUCCAUUUCCAAUUCCCAUGGCAGCGAAGCCGCAACAGACCCAUUUGUUAUCACGACCCCACUUUACUAUGUCAAUGCUUCCCCUCACAUGGGGAGCGCUUACACCACCAUCGCCCCAUUUCAGGAUGAGAAAGAAAUUCUUGCCAACAAUUGUUGUCCUAUACACCUAAAUCCCUGUGCUUUAAGGAAAUAAGACAAUUACUUUUUUGCAUUGUCAAAAUAUCGAAGAUUGCUUGAAGAAACUUUAACACAGAAUUCAGGUUUUGUGCAGCCCACCUUCCGUUAAAAUGAGCACCAUAUCUGCCAAGGUGAAAAGUUGGAUUAGAAGUGGCCUAGAAGACUUCUCUAUCUCCAGGGCUUCGGUUGAAUGGGGUAUUCCAGUUCCCAAUGAUCAAAAGCAAAUAAUUUAUGUUUGGUUUGAUGCAUUGUUAGGGGUAAUCUCUCUCUUAUCUUUUCAUUUUCAUUUUUGUUUUUAAAGAAUUCUUCAUUACUACAAACAUAUGGUAUAUGUGAACUUGCAACAAUUCUCCACCGUUUUGUUUAGGAAACCGAAAUGGAAAGUAUAGUCAGUGCCUUCAAUCUUAGUCAUAUGAAAAUUCCAUAAUGUAGUUAUAUAUCAGCGGUAUCAGAGAACUGUAAGCAACCAAAUUUACAAAGGGCUUCCGCUUCAGGUUGGCCUGCCUCUUUACACUUAAUUGGUGUUUUUCAAUGAUAUUUUAGGGCAAUUUUCCCGAUUGUACAUAUUUCAUCUAGCCCCGGCUGGAAAAUAUUUUCUUUUUCUCCACCUGAUUUUUAGAAUUUGGUCUUUGCUACAUUUUUUUUUUAAUAUAACAAGAAUUGAAAUUAUUCAUGAGCUCCCAUUUCUGUGUUAUUUUGAAUUCCGGAGGUUAUGAGACUUUCCCUUUUUCCCAUACUGAAUUCAAGCUCCUCAGUCUGUAGGAUGCAGAUUUAUUGUUUUUACUGUUCUGUUUGUAGGAUAUUUUACGUUUCCAUGCAGUUUAUUGGCCUGCUAUGCUAAUGUCUGCUGAACUAAAACUUCCAAAGAUGGUUUUCGAUCACGGGUUUCUGACAAUGGUGUGUUUGGGUUCCUAAAGUUUCUAUUAGACAAAGGAAUUUAGUUGGCGAUGGUAAUGGGUGAAGCAGAAGAAAGUUAAUAUUUACUAUUUAGGAAGUCUAUAAAGGUGUAACCAGUCUCCAUUGCCUUUAUAUAUAAUAUGAAUAUUGUUGCACCUUGUGAAUUCAAGGGUCUUCGUUGUCUUGUGAAUCUUAUCUCUUGGAGUUGGUCAAUAUUCAAUGUCCCUCAUAAUCAAAUAUUUCCAACCAUUUGGAUGCUGCCAGGAUUCAUGAAUUCUUGCAUUGUGUAGAAUUGGUUAUUUUUGUUGGAAUAGUGAGCAAUAGGUAGAUUUAUAACUUGUUAUAUUUUGUAAUAAUGGAGAAAACUUCAUUAUUGUCUACUUUUUGGUGAAUUUAUUCUAAUUCGAGAAUUAAGCUAUUAUAAUAUGCUUCUUAUCAAUGCUGUUGCAAAGAUUUUAUGGUUCAAGCUCUUAAUGUAUUUGAUGUAUUUUGGUUACUAGCGAUGUCAGUUAUGGGCAAAGCCGAGUAUUUAUUUUAAAGAGAAGCUUGAAGACGUCCAGUUAUGUGCGAAUUUUUGAGUUUCUAGUUUCUCAAGCUUCUGGUGUCUAAGUAGUGGAACCAUUCUUUUCAUAUUUCUUAGGGCCGUUUGAUAACUAUUUUGUUUUGGUUUUUAAUUUUUGAAAAUUAUGCUGGUUUUAUCAAUAUGUUUUUCACCUUUCUAAAGAAUAACAUUUGACUCGGUUAAAUUUCAAAAACAAAAAAAAGUUUUUAAAAAUUACUAUUUUUAGUUUCAAACGUGAUUUUGGAAACAAAACGUUUUUAGAAAAAGAUAACAAAACAAAGAAAUGCAUAGGUGGAAGUAAUGUUAAUAAACUUAAUUUUCAAAACUGAAAAGCCAAAACGAAAACCAAAAUGAUUACCGGUCCUUAGUUUUCCAGCUCUCCUGUAGAGAAAGUGUGAUAUUUCCUAUAAAUUGAAUCCCUGUGAUCUCUCCCUAACUUCUUUCUGGUUCAUGGUUCGAGUGGUAAAGAGUGAGUAAUAACAACUGAAUAUUUUAUUACUAGAACUUAGAUUCAGAAUCCACAUUAGAUAUAUGAAUUUGACAUCAUCGUGAUCUUGUUUGUAAACAUUUAUUUCUGGAGUUCUUGUAGUCCUGGCCUUCUUUUGUCAAUACAAACAAUUGUUGGUCAAGUUUCGAAACCUCUCAUAACUAAUUUUGGUUCAUGCAUCAACUCUUUUUGUUUGAACUUUAUAGGAUGGAACGAGGAUGGGCAAGUCAUUAGGCAAUACCCUUGAACCAAAUGAAUUGGUUCAAAAGUUUGGCUCUGAUGCAGUGAGAUACUUCUUCCUUGGGAAGAUGGAAUUUGGUAGCGAUGGAGACUAUGCCAAGGAUCGUUUCAUCAAUAUUGUCAACGCACAUCUAGCAAAUACAUUAGGAAAUCUUCUUAACCGAACACUCAGACUCCUUAUGAAGACUGCCAAACAACUUUGGUAGGUUGAUUCUACUGCUGCAGGAGAAGGAAAUGCAUUUAAGGACGAAGUUGAAGAACUGGUAACGGCUGCUUGGAAUUUAUAUUGUUAUUUGUGAUCUGAGAUGCUAUGGAAUUGGUGAAAUGAUUGUUUAUCCAACUUGUAGACCUUGAAACCUUCCAUGUUAUCACUUAUGUCAAAUGGCUUCUUGUUUGAUGGUGUAUCAAAGUUCAUGUAUUUGGCUUAGAUUUUGAAUCUAUUGUGGUGGGGGGAUAUUGUCUGUUGUUGUGGUGUGUCCUCUAUUAAGGACUUUUGUGACCAACAGGUUCAUGAUUUGUGCGAACCGUGUCGAUUUUAUUUGUGUGCUUGUAGGUUGCGAAUGCUCGGACAUUACUAAAAACCUAAGAAGCACAAAUAUGGACACGAGACACGGAUACGAUACAAGGACACGAUGACACAUCAUUUUCUGAAAAUUUAGGACACGGACAUGGCAAGGACACGUUUGUUAAUGUAUACAUUUUUUUAAGUA